rnacentral:lncRNA from 1 species
UUAAUAAAGACUCUCUGGCUUCCAGAGUCUUCUCAGACGCUCCUCCUUCUCUCUAGUUUCUCUCUCUAUUUUUUUCAUAAUUUUUCGGUUUAAUCUCAAUGUUUACAUGGUAUCAGAGCCAGACCCAUCCCAAUUAUUGUUACCGAUGUUGGGCCCCCAUAUAUGUUGUCCCACAUCGGAGGGAUUUGAGGUCCUUGGACUCCUUAUAUGGCUUGGAAAAUCCUCACCUCAUAAGCUAGCUUUUGGGGUUGAGUUAGGCCCAAGGUAGGAAAGUCUGAGACAGUAAAAUCAUCAGCAGGAGGAAUAGAAGGAACAGAUGAAGAAGAAGGAUGAACAGAAGUAGGAUUAUUCUUAAAAAGAAAAUAGGUUUCAUGAAAGACAACAUCCCUUGAAACAAAACACUUCUUGGUAACCAAGUCAUACAGUUUAUAACCCUUUUUAGCAAAGGGGUAACCCAGAAACACACUUCUUAAAAGGAAGGGAAGAACCUGGACGACGAUCCGACUAUGUUUAUCUGUACCUCGUUGUCUUAGAUGAAGUCUGUUUCGAGAUUUUUGGGGGUGUUUCUGAGACCUUAUGGUCGAUGAUGAUUCCGAUCUAAAUCGGACACCUACCUUUCUGAGUUUUUCAUCGUGAUAUCUGAGAGUAUUUUCUGCACUCGAACGUUCUGGGAGAUUUUCUGAUGAUUUUUGGGUGAUUUUUGGGUGACCUAUCAGCUUCUAAGGUUUCUGGUGGUUUAACCUAGAGAUUUACUUCUAUGGCGGUGGCUCGAUUCUCACUCACUGGAUGUUUUGGGAGACUUUCCGACAUUCCUGACCAUACUUACAGUAAGGCUUUCGACGGUUGCACCUAGGGUUUUCUCUUUUUGUUUGAAG